CUACGGAGGGGACUAGCGUUGUUCGGAAUUACUGGGCGUAAAGCGUACGUAGGCGGAUCAGAAAGUAUGGGGUGAAAUCCCAGGGCUCAACCCUGGAACUGCCUCAUAAACUCCUGGUCUUGAGUUCGAGAGAGGUGAGUGGAAUUCCGAGUGUAGAGGUGAAAUUCGUAGAUAUUCGGAGGAACACCAGUGGCGAAGGCGGCUCACUGGCUCGAUACUGACGCUGAGGUACGAAAGUGUGGGGAGCAAACAGGAUUAGAAACCCCAGUAGUCC
rnacentral:rRNA from 1 species